rnacentral:rRNA from 1 species
GACGAACGCUGGCGGCGUGCUUAACACAUGCAAGUCGAACGGAAAGGCCCUGCUUUUGUGGGGUGCUCGAGUGGCGAACGGGUGAGUAACACGUGAGUAACCUGCCCUUGACUUUGGGAUAACUUCAGGAAACUGGGGCUAAUACCGGAUAGGAGCUCCUGCUGCAUGGUGGGGGUUGGAAAGUUUCGGCGGUUGGGGAUGGACUCGCGGCUUAUCAGUUUGUUGGUGGGGUAGUGGCUUACCAAGGCUUUGACGGGUAGCCGGCCUGAGAGGGUGACCGGCCACAUUGGGACUGAGAUACGGCCCAGACUCCUACGGGAGGCAGCAGUGGGGAAUAUUGCACAGUGGGCGGAAGCCUGAUGCAGCAACGCCGCGUGCGGGAUGACGGCCUUCGGGUUGUAAACCGCUUUCGCCUGUGACGAAGCGUGAGUGACGGUAAUGGGUAAAGAAGCACCGGCUAACUACGUG